rnacentral:rRNA from 1 species
ACUAACAAGGCAUUCCCCUAGUAGCGGCGAGCGAAGCGGGAAGAGCUCAAAUUUGUAAUCUGGCGUCCUCCGGGCGUCCGAGUUGUAAUCUAUAGAGACGUUUUCCGUGCCGGACCGUGUCCAAGUCCCUUGGAACAGGGUAUCAAAGAGGGUGACAAUCCCGUACUUGACACGACGACCGGUGCUCUGUGAUACGUUUUCUACGAGUCGAGUUGUUUGGGAAUGCAGCUCAAAAUGGGUGGUAAAUUCCAUCUAAAGCUAAAUAUAGGCGAGAGACCGAUAGCGAACAAGUACCGUGAGGGAAAGAUGAAAAGCACUUUGGAAAGAGAGUUAAACAGUAUGUGAAAUUGUUGAAAGGGAAACGAUUGAAGUCAGUCAUGUCCAUUGGAUUCAGCUGGUUCUGCCAGUGUAUUUCCUUUGGACGGGUCAACAUCAGUUUGAGCCGGCGGAUAAUGGCAGAGGGAAUGUGGCACCCCCGGGUGUGUUAUAGCCCUUUGUCGCAUACGUCGGCCCAGACUGAGGAAUGCAGCUCGCCUUUAUGGCCGGGGUAAGCCCACGUACGAGCUUAGGAUGUUGGAUCGAGUAAUAUCGCUGCG